rnacentral:rRNA from 1 species
UACGGGGGGGCAAGCGUUGUUCGGAAUUACUGGGCGUAAAAGGGCUCGUAGGCGGCCAACUAAGUCAGACGUGAAAUCCCUCGGCUUAACCGGGGAACUGCAUCUGAUACUGGAUGGCUGAGUUCGGGAGAGGGAGUGCGGGAAUUCCAGGUGUAGCGGUAGAAAUGCGUAGAUAUCUGGAGGAACACCGGUGGCGAAGGCGGCAGUCCUGGACCGACACUGACGCUG